UACGAAGGGGCUAGCGUUGCUCGGAAUCACUGGGCGUAAAGGGUGCGUAGGCGGGUCUUUUAAGUCAGGGGUGAAAUCCUGGAGCUCAACUCCAGAACUGCCUUUGAUACUGAAGAUCUUGAGUUCGGGAGAGGUGAGUGGAACUGCGAGUGUAGAGGUGAAAUUCGUAGAUAUUCGCAAGAACACCAGUGGCGAAGGCGGCUCACUGGCCCGAGUACUGACGCUGAGGCACGAAAGCGUGGGGAGCAAACAGGG
rnacentral:rRNA from 1 species